AAGGGUUAACUCGAGGAUGGUGUUGAACAGGGAGGGUGAUGGUACAAGAAAUGGUCAUCAUGUUGAAGGAAUCAGGUGUUAUUCAAGUCAAUUAAAUAUGCUUUUUAUAAAUCCUUCUUUAAUCUCAUUUCCAAUCAAAGAGGCGAUCUGGAGUUCAUGUUGAAGAGGCUAAACAGUUAAGGCAUCAACCAUAAAUCGAGAAGUCACAAUCGGUUCACCAGAUUCCGAUGGGAUUUUAGUUCUCCUCGAUGCUUCAUUAAGAGAGAAACUAAUGAAGAUUAUGAGAUCGGAUUUCUGUAAAAUAGUGCCAGAGAUGAUAACAUCUAUUGUUGCUGCUGGAAAUUAUGCAAUCCAGGUUCCUGUGCUGGUGGAAAGACAGUUACUCCACCCGAACAUAUGGUACAUUAUCUAUUAGUUUGAUUGAUUUAUAGAACUGGGGUUGAUUUUGGCGUGUGCUAUGUAUGUGUAAUCAUGCUCAUUUGAAAUUGUUAGCUACGUUGUCUAAUAAUGCUCAUCUAAAAUUGUUAGCGUCAUUGUUAAAGUUUGAUGAUCUUGGGGAUAUGGUGUCAGCUUUACCAAGAUCAACAGACGAUGGGAUUUAUCGCACAAUCGACAUACAUCUUAACGUCAAUUUUGAGUUACCAAUUUUUCGUUUCUUUGCUGGAUUUGCCUAAUCAAA
rnacentral:lncRNA from 1 species